UGAUGCGAGUUUCUUGGAUCCAUAUAUUUUUUUCUUCUUGUUCUGAAACAAGUAAAAGUUGAAUUUGUGGCUCUUUUUCUUCACUAAUUGCUGCUGUAACGGUUUGUUGUGGUGCCCGUAAGGAGGUGAUUGUCGGAUGAAACAUUUCUAGUCGUGUUCAUUUCAGUGUUGUCAAAGGCUCAUUUGUGACACACUUAAGUCUUGAAGCUCAGGCUAGGUGCUUCGCUUCAGUUUGGCUGCGUUUCAGUGUAUGCAAGGCGCCUAGGUAUAUAUUUGUUGCAGUAGUUAUCUGGAGAUCUCAUAUGAUGGAAAUUAAGGCAGACAGAAAUGAUGGAUCCUUGGUUUUAGUCAAGCACGGAGAUGAGGCUGUAAGUUAUCCAAGGUUCAUGUGCCAUUUAACUUCCCUGCAAUUUUUUUUUCUUUUGAUAAAGAACUUUCCUGCAAAUGUGUUUAUAAUAUCUCUCUCCUAUCUCUGUGCGGCAAGUUUCUUUUCCUUCAUGUAUUUACACUGUAAAGAUCACAAACCAUAAUAUGCUAGUCUCUCCACUGAUGCUAUUUCACAUUGGGAUUUAUCUAAUGUUGAGAGUUUUCAUGUCAACUUUGUGGUAGGAGGUCCAUUGUUUACAAAGAAAUACAGGCAUCUAACUGUGGAAUCAAAGCUUACUCGUGAAGACUUAAAUGGGUUGGUGUAAAUGAUACCAGUUGUAUUCUUUAGUCUCUUCAUACCUCAAAGUUGUGCUGCUAACAAUUUUGAAUAACGGAGUAGGAGGCCAGGUGCAUACUCAAAGCAAUAUGCUAUUGACGCUGCUACACAUCUCACCUUUGAGUAUGUUGAAGGUCCCUCAUGAAAAUAUAUUCCUUGGUUUGGUUUACUUGAGAUUAUUGAAGAAACCAUCACAGAUGAACUGAUUGGUGAUGCUAUUGGAAAACUACAUAAUGGUGGCAUUGUCCAUGGGAUUUGGUGACAUCAAACAUGUUGAUGAGGUUUGCUGCCAACCAGCUGGUACUAUCCAAGUUUUUUUUCCUGUGGGUACUGAUUGACUUUUGACUAAGCAUUACUUCAACACUUCCAGAUGAUAAAGCAGUGGAUUUAUAUGUACUGGACGUGCUCUCUAUUCACUCUUCUUGUUGAAAUCUAAUGAGCUCAGUUGUAUCACCUAUGUUAUAUGUUAUUGACAUGUUCUAGAAUGAACAUCUCCUCAAGCGUUUUGUUCUUCUCUGAUCUAUACUUUUUUUACUGAUAUGUAAUCUCUACAGUAGAUCAUAAUCUGUUUCAGGGAAAGAGAGUGUUAAACUUUUGGUAAUGCCUUUCAAAUAAUUUUUUCCGUUGUUCCAAGUAUUAAUGUCAUUCAAGUCAUAUUAUGCAAGAAACAUGCAGUUCUUCCAUCUAAAGCAGUAUUUCUAGUGGUAUUAAUGGUUUUCUACUUCUCUGAUAGUGCUCUUUUCUGGCAUAUGCUUCGGAUGAGAAUUUUUUCUAAUAAUAGACUAAGCCUCCCUAAGGAUUAAGUUGCACUUAAUGCGAAUCUUUAACUUCUAUUUUGCUCGCUCUUGAGAAUACAAGUUCUGCUUGGGACGGCAUUUCACAUUGGUGUAUUGUCACUGAGCUAUACAAUUCUCUGAUCUCUUCAUUUUUUGCAACCAACAUAGAUAGCGAUUUUACUUUUAGUCUCGACCUGCAACUGUGAGCAGAUGAGCCAGAUAAUUGCUGCAUACAAGAAAUCCGGAAAGUAACGGCUGUUGUCGUUCAACAAGCUAGCCCAAGGAGCAGCUUCUGUUCCUAUAUGUCCCUUUCUGUUAACUACCUCGUUUUCCACAGAAAAAAUGAAUGGUGUCAAAUAUCAAAUACUAUAUCUUACUGUGUUUCUGCUUUGGGUUUUGUGAUAUAUCAGCGAGGCUGAGAGAUAGAAACCGUAAUAUGAUUUGUUAGCUUCCCAGUUAGAGUUGAAAUUUGUUCUUGCUGAGCAUCCAUUACCUUUUUUGUUUUAUUUUUCAAAAAAUUAAGUUUAUAUGCCUUUGUCUCCUCUUAAAGGGUAAGUGUCUUGCCUAUCACUCCAUCUUUUCAAUUGCAGAUGCCUGUAUAAUCUUAUAUGACUAAAUCAUCAAAGCCGUCCUCUUAACUAUUUUUCUCUUCUGAGGUAUACAUCAGUUCUUUCCAUUAAUUUAGAGAGGGAUGGUACUAUCAUGGUUAUCUGGCCUGUCCUUUGCUUGUCUCGUGGAUCCUAGGACAACUGCACUCUUUAAUAUUCACCUCUUCUCUUUGCACCUCUUUAUUCCCGUUCAAAGUAUUAUUCAAUAGUGUAGUUAGAAAUAUUCUUCAGAUGUUCUUAAUGGUCAUGUUCUCUAAGGCAUAGAAGAUCUGAGAUAUCCUUUUCAGAAACAACAGACCACAGUUAUGUGCAGAGAUUAAAGGAAGUUACAUUUCUAUGCUGCGGGAAUUUAUUUUUCCUCUGUUGUGAAGACCGCGACUUAGCAGAAUGUUUGGUCACAAUUAGAGCGGACAAUGUUUUUGUCUAUGCCUGUCAACUUUCCCUGUUUGAACUGUUCUUCAUACAAUUAUCCUGUUUAUGCAUUUUUACACUACGUUUGCUUAUUAAGAGUACCCUUAGUUUUUUAUGAAUAGAUUUCCAAUUGCUUUACAUUAAAUAUCAACGUUAGGGGAAGGAGAAACAGAAUGCUUGGAGCACUGACAAAUAUGUUUCGGUUGCAAAGUUGAGGUUUUAUUGUGGUUCUAACUCAUUUAGAGUUGCCCAGAAUUACCAAUUUUCUGUUCCUACGUGGUGAUCGGUGUUUUAAAAUUUCCUUUGGUUGGCAGCAUAUUUACAUUUUAUGAACCCAGAAGGCUGUACAUUAUAGACAUAACAUUUUCCAUGCCAUGUGACUGCAUGUGAAGCAGUACAAUUGAACUACAACUGUGGUCCUUAGAGUGCAAUUAAAUGCACUGCUAUAGUAUUUGAUUCAACAACAAUGACAUACGUAGUGUAAUUCCACAAGUGGGGUUUGGGGAGAGUAGGAUGCAUGCGGACCUUUUGCUAUAGUAUUUGAUAUACUUUCCUAUUGUUAUUUCUAAUUUCCCCUAAUAAACGCUUGAACUCUUUUACAACUCUCUCAAAUGUGCUGCUCUGAACAUUGUCGGGUUUCUUUGGAUUUGAUGUUGGAAUAUACUGGAAAUUAUAAAAUAAAAAUAAAAAAAGAGAAGAAAGCCAAAAGAGGUUGGAUUUUCUUGUUGUCCUAUAUUGUUUGAUCUCAUUUCGUUGUGUUUUGAGUUAGGAGUUAAGCUGUAUCUGUUUGAUUAUUUACUCAUUAAAACUUGAGUAAAAACCAUACAAUAACUUUGAUUGAGAGAUUUCACUUCUCCAUGUCGCUUUUAAUAUUUGAUAUUAUUCUUUCCUUGUGAGCUAUUUUGACUAGGCUAUAAAAUUUAAAAAACUACAUACGGGUUUUACCUUAUGGUACUAGCACUACCUGAUCAAGUAAAAAAGAAUAGUACAUCCUGACUCGAUUGCGAGUUUACAAGUUGAUGUAAUAUUCUUGGCACCAUUUGUAAUAUUUCUCUUUGUUUUGUCUCUCUGAAUUCUUUGUUUUCAUUGAUAGGGAAGUCAUCACAUCACUCUUGGAUGCAAUGGACAGAUACAUACACAUGUGCCAAGUGGUGAUCAAACUUUGAGCAUGACGCCAAUUCUGGAAUCGCAAUACCAGGUCCACAUAUUUACCCAAAUAUUGUGAGUACAAAAUUCUGAUUCUUAAUUUUUUUUUUUUUUUUGGGAGAUGUAGUUAAUGUUGCUAGUGACACUGGUGGUGAAUUUAAGUCACACGUUGGGAUGAAUUCUGAUGCAAGAGCUUACACAAAAUUAGCCAAACACUCAGUAAGUACUCUUCUGACUUUUUGCCUUUUACAGCAAACACCAGUCAGAUGAAAACUUCAAUAUAAUCUGCAGUUUCUUUAGAGUAACGUGUUGCUUUAGGUGGGAAUGAGAGUCUUUUGAUUUCUGAUUGACAGAGCCAGUACUACUGCCAAGUUUGUGCACUUUAUCUUGUUUGCUAAGAUCAUCAUCGAGUCAUCGACAAAUUUAUCGUGUUUGUAGGUACAAUAUAAGUGUGAUCUCAUUAUAUGUAUAUAUAUUUCGAGCUUUUUUUUGUCAUGUGUGUACAUUGUUCGAGUUGAAAGUAAUGGUUCAGUUAAACUCACAGAACCCGCUUUAUAUAUGCCUCUGAUCAUUGACCAGUAUUUCUCAUCUUAUUGUGUCUGACGGGAAAUCUGGAGUACA